rnacentral:rRNA from 1 species
AUUGAACGCUGGCGGCAUGCCUUACACAUGCAAGUCGAACGGCAGCACGGGAGCAAUCCUGGUGGCGAGUGGCGAACGGGUGAGUAAAGUAUCGGAACGUGCCCAGUCGUGGGGGAUAACGUAGCGAAAGUUACGCUAAUACCGCAUACGAUCUAUGGAUGAAAGCGGGGGAUCGCAAGACCUCGCGCGAUUGGAGCGGCCGAUAUCAGAUUAGGUAGUUGGUGGGGUAAAGGCUCACCAAGCCGACGAUCUGUAGCUGGGCUGAGAGGACGACCAGCAAAACUGGGACUGAGACACGGCCCAGCGUCCUACGGGAGGCAGCAGUGGGGAAUUUGGGACAAUGGACGCAAGUCUGAUCCAGCCAUGCCGCGUGCGGGAAGAAGGCCUUCGGGUUGUAAGCCGCUUUUGUCAGGGAAGAAACGCUCUGGGUUAAUACCUCGGGGUAAUGACGGUACCUGAAGAAUAAGCACCGGCUAACUACGUGCCAGCAGCAGCCGCCG